CAGUCGCCACGGUAAUACGGAGGAUCCUAGCGUUAUCCGGAAUCAUUGGGUUUAAAGGGUCCGUAGGCGGUCUUGUAAGUCAGUGGUGAAAGCCCAUCGCUCAACGGUGGAACGGCCAUUGAUACUGCAGGACUUGAAUUAUUGGGAAGUAACUAGAAUAUGUAGUGUAGCGGUGAAAUGCUUAGAGAUUACAUGGAAUACCAAUUGCGAAGGCAGGUUACUACCAAUUGAUUGACGCUGAUGGACGAAAGCGUGGGUAGCGAACAGGAUUAGAUACCCGCGUAGUCCCUGUCUCUUAUAC
rnacentral:rRNA from 1 species